UACGUAGGGUGCGAGCGUUAAUCGGAAUUACUGGGCGUAAAGCGUGCGCAGGCGGCGCGUUAAGACAGGUGUGAAAGCCCCGAGCUUAACUUGGGAACUGCGCUCGAAACUACGUGGCUGGAGUGUGGCAGAGGAAGGUGGAAUUCCACGUGUAGCGGUGAAAUGCGUAGAGAUGUGGAGGAACACCAAUGGCGAAGGCAGCCUUCUGGGCCAACACUGACGCUCAUGCACGAAAGCGUGGGGAGCAAACAGG
rnacentral:rRNA from 1 species